rnacentral:rRNA from 1 species
UACAGAGGUGGCUAGCGUUGUUCGGAUUCAUUGGGUGUAAAGGGUGCGUAGGCGGCUUGGAAAGUCAAAUGUGAAAGCCCACAGCUUAACUGUGGAAAUGCAUUUGAAACUUCCAGGCUUGAGUGUGAGAGAGGUGAAGGGAAUUCCCGGUGUAAGGGUGAAAUCUGCAGAGAUCGGGAGGAACACCAGUAGCGAAGGCGCUUCACUGGCUCGCAACUGACGCUGAGUGCACGAAGGCGUGGGGAGCAAACGGG